UAAGUAGUAUCCAUUAAAGGGUCGUUAAUAUAUUCAAAGUGACCGUUUGAUGUACUACUUUAG
rnacentral:pre_miRNA from 1 species